UUAAAUUGAAGAGUUUGAUCAUGGCUCAGAUUGAACGCUGGCGGCAGGCCUAACACAUGCAAGUCGAACGGUAACAGGAAGCAGCUUGCUGCUUUGCUGACGAGUGGCGGACGGGUGAGUAAUGUCUGGGAAACUGCCUGAUGGAGGGGGAUAACUACUGGAAACGGUAGCUAAUACCGCAUAAUGUCGCAAGACCAAAGAGGGGGACCUUCGGGCCUCUUGCCAUCGGAUGUGCCCAGAUGGGAUUAGCUAGUAGGUGGGGUAACGGCUCACCUAGGCGACGAUCCCUAGCUGGUCUGAGAGGAUGACCAGCCACACUGGAACUGAGACACGGUCCAGACUCCUACGGGAGGCAGCAGUGGGGAAUAUUGCACAAUGGGCGCAAGCCUGAUGCAGCCAUGCCGCGUGUAUGAAGAAGGCCUUCGGGUUGUAAAGUACUUUCAGCGGGGAGGAAGGGAGUAAAGUUAAUACCUUUGCUCAUUGACGUUACCCGCAGAAGAAGCACCGGCUAACUCCGUGCCAGCAGCCGCGGUAAUACGGAGGGUGCAAGCGUUAAUCGGAAUUACUGGGCGUAAAGCGCACGCAGGCGGUUUGUUAAGUCAGAUGUGAAAUCCCCGGGCUCAACCUGGGAACUGCAUCUGAUACUGGCAAGCUUGAGUCUCGUAGAGGGGGGUAGAAUUCCAGGUGUAGCGGUGAAAUGCGUAGAGAUCUGGAGGAAUACCGGUGGCGAAGGCGGCCCCCUGGACGAAGACUGACGCUCAGGUGCGAAAGCGUGGGGAGCAAACAGGAUUAGAUACCCUGGUAGUCCACGCCGUAAACGAUGUCGACUUGGAGGUUGUGCCCUUGAGGCGUGGCUUCCGGAGCUAACGCGUUAAGUCGACCGCCUGGGGAGUACGGCCGCAAGGUUAAAACUCAAAUGAAUUGACGGGGGCCCGCACAAGCGGUGGAGCAUGUGGUUUAAUUCGAUGCAACGCGAAGAACCUUACCUGGUCUUGACAUCCACAGAACUUUCCAGAGAUGGAUUGGUGCCUUCGGGAACUGUGAGACAGGUGCUGCAUGGCUGUCGUCAGCUCGUGUUGUGAAAUGUUGGGUUAAGUCCCGCAACGAGCGCAACCCUUAUCCUUUGUUGCCAGCGGUCCGGCCGGGAACUCAAAGGAGACUGCCAGUGAUAAACUGGAGGAAGGUGGGGAUGACGUCAAGUCAUCAUGGCCCUUACGACCAGGGCUACACACGUGCUACAAUGGCGCAUACAAAGAGAAGCGACCUCGCGAGAGCAAGCGGACCUCAUAAAGUGCGUCGUAGUCCGGAUUGGAGUCUGCAACUCGACUCCAUGAAGUCGGAAUCGCUAGUAAUCGUGGAUCAGAAUGCCACGGUGAAUACGUUCCCGGGCCUUGUACACACCGCCCGUCACACCAUGGGAGUGGGUUGCAAAAGAAGUAGGUAGCUUAACCUUCGGGAGGGCGCUUACCACUUUGUGAUUCAUGACUGGGGUGAAGUCGUAACAAGGUAACCGUAGGGGAACCUGCGGUUGGAUCACCUCCUUACCUUAAAGAAGC
rnacentral:rRNA from 1 species